rnacentral:tmRNA from 3 species
GGGGCCGAUUCAGGAUUCGACGGGAAUUGUGAAACCCUAGGUGCAUGUCGUGGGGCGGUUGGCCACGUAAAAAGCCGCAAAAAAAUAGUCGCAAACGACGAAAACUACGCACUAGCAGCUUAAUAACCUGCAUAGAGCCCUUCCCCCUUAGUUCUCCUGUGGACUUUGGAUCCGGAAGGUCACCCCACACAGGAUCGCGUGGCGUCCCGGCCUGGGGAUUAAGCGCUAAAACUAAUCAGGCACGCCUGUAGAAGCCUGCCACUCGGCGUCUAACAGGUUACUAAAUGAGCUGGCUAAGCAUGUAGUACCGACGGCGUAAUAUUUUCGGACGGGGGUUCAAAUCCCCCCGGCUCCACCA